AAAAACUAAAUGUAACUGUGCAGUGAAGCUAACUAAACAUGAAUAAACUGACUUUAAAGCAGCUAGACCUCAUCAAAAUGUUUUCCAAAAUGAGUAGAAAAUGAAUCAAAUGUCACUUCACCUUCUGCUCUGGAUGUGACAAACACAGGGCUGGAGUCUGGGAGCUGGCAGGAGAGUCCACUUCAAACAGGUAGAAGAAUCAUCACCUGCACUGAGCUGCUUCUCCCUCCAGCUACACAGGGAGGAUGAGGAAGGUCAAAUUUGAUAAUGGAAAUGAGAAAAGGGGCCAUAUUUCUGGCUCUGCUCCAGGGACUGAUGUAAUCGUUGCAGCCUUGUCUCCAGAGUGGGAAGUUCAACUGUAGGCCAGACAGCUGGAGAACAUGAAGGCAGGGUGGAUAAACACCAGAACUAAAAAUACAAAAUAAAAACUUUGUAGAACUGAUUUGUUUUUUACAUAUUUUAUUGAAAAUGCUACACCAAACAAUG